AGGAAACUUACUGGGUUGAGCUUGGGUAUCUCUGUUCAUGCAAUUUUGGUGUGUAGUGUUCUUGGAACUUGAUUGGAAGAAGGUGAAUCUGAAGCUAUGAUGCUUAAGUAGUGCAGGAAAGAAAUUUUGGGUUUGUUUUGAUCAACGGAAUUUUGUAGCAUUUCCUUUUUACUAGCUGAGGUAAUUAAAUUAUGCAGUUCUAUCGUUAUUGGUGCCUUCAUUUUGGAUUAGUAAGUAGAUUAUUUUAUGUUAUUUUUUUAGUAAAUGAACUGCGUUUUGUAUGAAUCUGAAGCUGUGUCUGCGUUUUGUAUGACCAGACUGUAACCCAAAAUCCAUAUAUAACUUACAGAGAAAGAGAGAAAGGAUUGUACCAGCGCCUUGAGCACCAGCUCCUCGAACAAUGGUGAGACCCACCGGAAGAAGAUUAUAUGCAGCAGCAGAGACUCCAAAAACAUAAUCUUGAAAUGAAACCUUUGUUCCACUGAGAUACUCAUCAUACUCAUAACCAUUGCUUAAUCCCAAAUGCCCAAUAACAAUUACACCGCAAAAACACAAAAUUUUCCUCAUUUAUUAUCUCUAAUCCCACCUCUUUAAUACCCAAAAAUCAAAAUGCUAACUUUUAACUGGAGUUGCACGGACACAAAAUGCAUUUUGAAUAUUUUGGGAUCUAAAUCAAC
rnacentral:lncRNA from 1 species